GAAAUCCUACCUACCAGUGUGAUUGCAGUAGCAGCCGGCGUUCUGAGAACGCCGGCUGCUACUGCAAUCACACUGGUAGGUAGGAUUUCG